rnacentral:rRNA from 1 species
UAGCUUGCUAAGGCCGAUGGCGACCGGCGCACGGGUGAGUAACACGUAUCCAACCUGCCGUCUACUCUUGGACAGCCUUCUGAAAGGAAGAUUAAUACAAGAUGGCAUCAUGAGUCCGCAUGUUCACAUGAUUAAAGGUAUUCCGGUAGACGAUGGGGAUGCGUUCCAUUAGAUAGUAGGCGGGGUAACGGCCCACCUAGUCUUCGAUGGAUAGGGGUUCUGAGAGGAAGGUCCCCCACAUUGGAACUGAGACACGGUCCAAACUCCUACGGGAGGCAGCAGUGAGGAAUAUUGGUCAAUGGGCGAGAGCCUGAACCAGCCAAGUAGCGUGAAGGAUGGCUGCCCUAUGGGUUGUAAACUUCUUUUAUAAAGGAAUAAAGUCGGGUAUGCAUACCCGUUUGCAUGUACUUUAUGAAUAAGGAUCGGCUAACUCCGUGCCAGCAGCCGCGGUAAUACGGAGGAUCCGAGCGUUAUCCGGAUUUAUUGGGUUUAAAGGGAGCGUAGAUGGAUGUUUAAGUCAGUUGUGAAAGUUUGCGGCUCAACCGUAAAAUUGCAGUUGAUACUGGAUAUCUUGAGUGCAGUUGAGGCAGGCGGAAUUCGUGGUGUAGCGGUGAAAUGCUUAGAUAUCACGAAGAACUCCGAUUGCGAAG